rnacentral:rRNA from 1 species
UACGUAGGGGGCGAGCGUUAUCCGGAUUUACUGGGUGUAAAGGGAGCGUAGACGGCGGAACAAGUCAGAAGUGAAAACCCGGGGCUCAACCCUGGGAGUGCUUUUGAAACUGUUUGGCUGGAGUGCAGGAGAGGUAAGCGGAAUUCCUAGUGUAGCGGUGAAAUGCGUAGAUAUUAGGAGGAACACCAGUGGCGAAGGCGGCUUACUGGACUGUAACUGACGUUGAGGCUCGAAAGCGUGGGGAGCAAACAGG